rnacentral:rRNA from 1 species
GCUAAUACCGCAUACGUCCUACGGGAGAAAGCAGGGGAUCUUCGGACCUUGCGCUAAUAGAUGAGCCUAAGUCGGAUUAGCUAGUUGGUGGGGUAAAGGCCUACCAAGGCGACGAUCUGUAGCGGGUCUGAGAGGAUGAUCCGCCACACUGGGACUGAGACACGGCCCAGACUCCUACGGGAGGCAGCAGUGGGGAAUAUUGGACAAUGGGGGGAACCCUGAUCCAGCCAUGCCGCGUGUGUGAAGAAGGCCUUAUGGUUGUAAAGCACUUUAAGCGA